AUCUGUUGUUUUAUAAAGUAGUUUUAUUUAUUCCAGUUAAUAUUUAAAAAAAAAAAACCUAACCUAAAAUCAGUAAACUUGGAACAAUCAACAGAAAGCUUUAUAAAGCCAGUAGAGAUUUGUGCUGCUGUUAAUGUUCUUUAAGAAGUUAAAUCAUAGGCUACAUUCAUUCCCCAGACUUUCUGGUUAUAUAAGCCUUUAAAAAAAAUAAUGUUACUAAAUACUUUACGAGAUUUUUACCCCUUAUCUCCUCCCACCACCGUAUUUAUUAAGAAAAUAGUUUGUUUAUAUGUUAGUAUGUUGCCCACUCACGUGUCUAGACUUUUUUUCUUUUAAAAGAAAAUAAAGUUUCCUUUCUGACAAGAGGCCUUAGAGACUAGCUUAUGAAGAGAAAUUUUCCAGAUCUGCAUUUCUUAUUUGUGAGGUUUGAGCAAAAUCUGUGACAUUCAAAUCUCUUAACGGUGUUGCUAAUGAAUGCUUAAUGUAAGAUGAGCAAUUGGUUCAACAUCUAUAUUUAUAAAAAUGAUUUCCACAUUAAGACAUACCAGUGUAUCUUAUUGAGAGAUUUAUCAGGAUUGUAAGAAAUACAUUUUUAGUUGUCUAUACCCGAUAGCUUAGAAACUGACUUUCUAUUGUUAUGUCAUCAGUGACACAUAAACACUACACCUACCAUUUAUUGAGCAUUUACUGCAUUGCUGUGUACUACUUUAAAUGUAUCUACCAUAAUCUUCUCAGCACUCCUAUGAAGUUAGUAUAUAGCCCAUUAAGAUUAUGAAAUCUGACCCAAAUCACAUAGUUGUUAAGUGGUAGGGGCACACCAAUAUUCAGAUGUGAAUCUGUUUGACUCUAAGGUCCAUGCUCUUAACCCCUAUGUUGCUACUAUGUAAUACUGCCUCCGUAUACCUGCUCCUGGUAGUAAAUUUAAGAAGGAUCUUCCUUUAUUGUAAUAUACUUCAUACUUGUAAUCAAUUGUUCCGUGUUUUUCUUCCGCUAGACUAUAAAUUCUUAUGUUUUCAGUCUCCAUCCUCUACUGUUUGAGCCCUCUUCUCCCUCUCCACACCCCCAUGAUAGAAUCUUUCUCUCUGUACUUAAUUGUCUCUUGUACUUACCUAUCUUCACCUCUAAAUAGAUAAGACCAGGAACUCCAUGUGGGGAGGAGGUAUAUUGUUCUCAUUUUUCUAUCUCUAGUACCUGCCCAGCUCAAGUUCUAGUACAUAGUAAGUGCUUAAUAAGGUGAAAUUCCUGUAAUUCCAGUGACAAGAUAUAUCUGUUGUUAAUGUAUUAUUUUCUUUAAUCUCUUCUUCAUAUAAAUUUGGUAUCCUGUUUUACAGUUUUGUCUUUUUUUUUUUUUACUUUGAGCAUUUUCCCAGAUUAUUAUAUUCUUCUAAAACAUUGGUUUUAAAGCCUUCAUGUGGUAUCAUAAUACCUCCCCUUUAAACAAAAAUAAUGGAGUUCACAUGAAAAAAUAAGAAUAGCAGAGAAAAUAAGAAUGCAGGCAGAUUUGUUAUUCUAGUUACUAACAGGUAUUACAGAAUUAUAUAUGGCACCAUUCCAGGAAUAUAUCAGUGAAAUAGGGUAGAAAUUCUAGAAACAGACUGAAGUGUAUGUGAAAAAACUUACUAGUUAAUAAAAGUAGCAUUUGACAUUAAUGGGAAAAGAUUGGAUUUUUCAUUGGAGCAAUUAUAGAAUGACUAGUUAACCAUUUAGAAAUAAAGCUUAAUAUCUAUCAUCUUAAACCACUGGGAAUGAAACCUGGCUAUAAGUAGUCAUUGCAGAAGUAGAUGUGGAAGCAUUUAUGAAAUCCAGGGAGAGGGGCAAGAAUUGACUUUGAGAGCUACUUAACCAGGAUAAAGCCAAAGAUUGUUUUUCCCUUUUUAGAAUCAGCAAGGAAGUAAAAUUCUCUGGAGUGAAAGAAAGGAAUCUAGGAGGCUAGAAUAAAAAUUUAUUCUUAAGAAUAGACGAUAGAAACCCUGAAAGUGACUUGGCCUAUUUUGAAAUAAUAAAAGUAGCAUUGAAUAAUCUGGAAAAUGUAAGAAGGUACAAGUUAUUAAAGGAAGAAGAGGUUGUAGCCAUUAAAAGUCAUAAAGUAAUUAUUUUUUU